UAGUGAGUUUGAUCCUGGCUCAGAUUGAACGCUGGCGGCAUGCUUUACACAUGCAAGUCGAACGGCAGCGCGGGGCAACCUGGCGGCGAGUGGCGAACGGGUGAGUAAUAUAUCGGAACGUACCCAAGAGUGGGGGAUAACGUAGUGAAAAUUACGCUAAUACCGCAUACGAUCUAAGGAUGAAAGCGGGGGAUCGCAAGACCUCGCGCGAUUGGAGCGGCCGAUAUCAGAUUAGCUAGUUGGUGAGGUAAACGGCUCACCAA
rnacentral:rRNA from 1 species